GAUGAACGCUAGCUACAGGCUUAACACAUGCAAGUCGAGGGGAAACGAUAUAGAAAGCUUGCUUUCUUUAGGCGUCGACCGGCGAAUGGGUGAGUAACGCGUAUCCAACCUGCCCCUGAGUAAGGGAUAGCCCAUCGAAAGAUGGAUUAAUACCUUAUGGUCUCCUUUGCAGACAUCUAAUUAGGAGUAAAGGUUUACCGCUAUGGGAUGGGGAUGCGUCUGAUUAGGUUGCAGGCGGGGUAACGGCCCACCUGGCCUACGAUCAGUAGGGGUUCUGAGAGGAAGGUCCCCCACACUGGUACUGAGACACGGACCAGACUCC
rnacentral:rRNA from 1 species